rnacentral:rRNA from 1 species
GACGAACGCUGGCGGCGUGCUUAACACAUGCAAGUCGAGCGGUAAGGCCCUUUCGGGGGUACACGAGCGGCGAACGGGUGAGUAACACGUGGGUGACCUGCCCUCAGCUCUGGGAUAAGCCUGGGAAACCGGGUCUAAUACUGGAUAUGACUCCAUGACGCAUGUUGUGGGGUGGAAAGCCUUGUGCGGCUGAGGAUGGGCCCGCGGCCUAUCAGCUUGUUGGUGGGGGAUGGCCUACCAAGGCGACGACGGGUAGCCGGCCUGAGAGGGCGACCGGCCACACUGGGACUGAGACACGGCCCAGACUCCUACGGGAGGCAGCAGUGGGGAAUCUUGCGCAAUGGGCGAAAGCCUGACGCAGCGACGCCGCGUGAGGGAUGACGGCCUCGGU